rnacentral:rRNA from 1 species
AUUGAACGCUGGCGGCAGGCCUAACACAUGCAAGUCGAGCGAGCGGCGGACGGGUGAGUAAUGUAUGGGGACUGCCCGAUAGAGGGGGAUAACUACUGGAAACGGUGGCUAAUACCGCAUACUAUCGGAUAACCCAUAUGGGAUUAGCUAGUAGGUGGGGUAAAGGCUCACCAAGGCGACGAUCUCUAGCUGGGCUGAGAGGAUGACCAGCCACACUGGGGCUUAAACACGGCCCAUACUCCUACGGAGGCAGCAGUGGGGAAUAUUGCGCAAUGGGGGCAAGCCUGAUUCAGCCAUGCCGCGUGUAUGAAGAAGGCCUUAGGGUUGUAAAGUUCUUUCAGCGGGGAGGCGUUACCCGCAGGAGAAGCACCGGCUAACUCCGUGCCAGCAGCCGCGGUAAUAC